rnacentral:rRNA from 1 species
UGGGGAAUAUUGCACAAUGGGCGCAAGCCUGAUGCAGCCAUGCCGCGUGUGUGAAGAAGGCCUUCGGGUUGUAAAGCACUUUCAGCGGGGAGGAAGGCGAUAAGGUUAAUAACCUUGUCGAUUGACGUUACCCGCAGAAGAAGCACCGGCUAACUCCGUGCCAGCAGCCGCGGUAAUACGGAGGGUGCAAGCGUUAAACGGAAUUACUGGGCGUAAAGCGCACGCAGGCGGUCUGUCAAGUCGGAUGUGAAAUCCCCGGGCUCAACCUGGGAACUGCAUUCGAAACUGGCAGGCUAGAGUCUUGUAGAGGGGGGUAGAAUUCCAGGUGUAGCGGUGAAAUGCGUAGAGAUCUGGAGGAAUACCGGUGGCGAAGGCGGCCCCCUGGACAAAGACUGACGCUCAGGUGCGAAAGCGUGGGGAGCAAACAGG